rnacentral:rRNA from 1 species
UGAGGAAUAUUGGUCAAUGGAGGCAACUCUGAACCAGCCAUGCCGCGUGGAGGAUGACGGCCCUCUGGGUUGUAAACUCCUUUUAUAGAAGAAGAAAUCCAUUUUUUCUAAGAUGGUUGACGGUACUCUAUGAAUAAGCACCGGCUAACUCCGUGCCAGCAGCCGCGGUAAUACGGAGGGUGCAAGCGUUAUCCGGAUUCACUGGGUUUAAAGGGAGCGUAGGUGGGUUUGUAAGUCAGUGGUGAAAUC